rnacentral:tRNA from 1 species
GGAGAGAUGGCUGAGUGGUUGAUAGCUCCGGUCUUGAAAACCGGUAUAGUUCUAGGAACUAUCGAGGGUUCGAAUCCCUCUCUC